AUAAAUAAAUAAAUAAAUAAAGGAUAUUUAGCGUCAAACACCCUAUAUAAGAAUAUUUCCCUAAUGGAAAUUUGUAAUUAAUUUCCUAAUCAAAAUUAAGCCUUCUCCUAUUAAACAUUAUACAUAGAUUCCAGAUCACAGAAAUGCUGAAGUACAAAACUAAAAUUGCAUAAAGGUUAGCAACUAAUUCCUUUUCCGAUGGAUGCAUUAAUCUCCCUUGGUAGGAGAAAAUAUGACCUCAGGUUUUCAAAGUGUUUUAGUAUGAAAAUAUUAGAAACAUGCACUACUAGGUUUCUUCACUACUCAAAUUCCUUUGCUUCUUUGUUCACUACUCAAACAUGAUUCAGCCUUUGCUUCUUUGUUCUCUAUUCAGACCUCUUUCGUAGAGGAUUCAAUAAGCUUUCUCCUUCACUUAGCAGCAUGCACUUCUGACAGUUCAUCAUGUGUCUUAGAUGCGUCCACUUGCAGUUCUGCUUCCACUACUAGAUGUUUAGGGACCUAAGAUUGCUCCUUGUGACAAAACCAUGGCUUCAUGUCUUUUUAAAUAGAUUCUUUUCACUGACUGGAACUAUAAUCUUCCCCUUCAUUAAUUCAAAAGAUACAUUCUUCAAUAUAGCCUCUUCUCUUGACCAAAGGAUCAUGAUAGAGCUCAAUCCAUCAUAGGAAAAUUGCAGAUCAGAAAUCAUAAAAAAAGCAUUCCAGAAGGGAAGAUUUAACUAACACUGUCAAAACUGAAAAUGAAUCAAGGCUGACUCCCUCCUCCACAGAACCACAAGGAUCAAAAUCUUGUUGCAGCAUUUCCUCUGUGCUAGGAUAUAAUAUGUGAUGAACUGUAACUAACUUUGUGAUACAGCACGACCAAUUUUUGAACUAAAUGAUAAGUGGUUCAGAUUCGGGAAAAAGAUUGGAUGCUUUGGUCACAAGGUGUUUGGAUAAAACAUCUGGCAUUCGGACAGGUCACAAGGUAUUUGGAUAAGACAUCUGGUGCUCUGAUGGGUCACAGGUUUUCGGAUAAAACAUCUGGUGUUUGGAUAAGUAGUUGCUUGGAUAAUACACAAGAAUGAAGGGGUACGAAUUGGUUACAUGCUAAAAGUAUGUUUUAUAUUAUCGCCGAGAAUAUAGGACAUAUUAGUUGAUACCUCUGCAAAGAAUGCACAGAAAUGAGCUGGUAAAAUCCUGACUAAAACGGGAAAGGUACCAUCCCCUACUAUAUAAAUACGAUCAACAUCAAUGUUCAAGAUACGCAAUUCUAUUAUAUUCUUCUUCUUUUUGUUGAUGUCGGAGUGGCCUAGCUUAGGCCACCGAUCUCACCUUUUUUUCUUGGUUGCAGGCAGCAUUCUGAUCAACCACCAACCCAAGAACCUCAGGCAACAUCAGUUUAACUUGGCAAAACAAGUAGCCCCACAGUGUAUGUAACUUGAAUCAUGACCCAAGCGCAUAGCAUUGUCAGAUUUUAUACUAUCAGGUUGCUGCCCAUAUGGCAUAUGCCCUAAAGUUUCAGAAAAAAUACAUGUUAAAAAAUAAAUGAACAAAAGAUUUCUUUUUCUUUCUUUUUUCUGCCAUUCAUACGAACUCCUAUUUCUAAUUUUUUUUUUUAUAUUCUUUUUCUCCUUUUUCAAUUUUCCUUCUCUUUUCAACUCUUUUCCCCAAUAAACACUAUCCAUCCAUUAUAUUUCACUUGAUAGAUAUCUAUCUUUGUUUCUGACUUUCAUUGGCAACAAAAUGAAGCUUAUGGUUCUGCAAUGGAAAUCUCUUCCAUGAUGAAUUUAAGUUGCCAGGGAAUUGAUCUUGACAGAGCAAACAAACCAAAGUUCACAACCUACCAAAACUAUUACAAAUAACUACAAAUCCACGAAUUUCUGUAACUUUCCUUUCCCAUACUAGAAUUUGACGGUGCAAUCAUUUUUUUGCAUGCACAAUCUAUUGUCGCCAGAAUUUGCGUACAUCAAAUCACCAGCAAAUGGAAAUUGAACAGAGUGUUUGUAAAUUGUAAUCGAACAAUGCACCAACUCAACUAAAUCAUACUCAAUUAAAUCGGUCAGUGAAGUUGAGUUUUUCGUAUUCGGUGCAAAUAAAUAAUGUAAAAGCUCACAUCUUUUUCCACAAUUUUCUCAGCCACCAAACAGAUGGAAAAAAAAAACAAAACAAAACAAAGCAUCAGAUCAAAGCAUAUGCAAGUUAUUUCAAUUCUCUAAUAGUUUUGUGCCUCAAAAAAAAUAUACAUAUCUCUAAUAGUUUUACUGUUCUAUUACCCUUGACUUGCUUCGUACAUCAAUACCAGAUCCACCAAUCCUGUUUCAAAAUGAUUCAGUAUUAGUAAUGAUGCAGCUAAUCCACUUAAAACUAAAAUUCAAUGCAGAAAUUUGUCCAAAGCUGUUAACAUGUUGCAGGAACAUUAUAGAAAGAAGUUUUUACCAAAUAUACUUAGCAAUGAUCUUGUCAGUGUAUGG
rnacentral:misc_RNA from 1 species